AGUUUGAUCAUGGCUCAGAUUUAACGCCGCGAUGCUUUACACAUGCAAGUCGAACGCGUUAAUGGAUUCAGUCUGGUGGCGAGUGGCGAACGGGGUGAGUAAUGUAUCGGAACGCCUAGUAGCGGGGAUAACUACGCGAAAGCGUAGCUAAUACCGCACACCCUUCGGGGAAAGCGGGGACCUUCGGGCCUCGCACUAUUAGAGCGGCCGAUAUCGGAUUAGCUAGUUGGUGGGGUACUGCUCACCAAGGCGACGAUCCGUAGCUGGUUUGAGAGGACGACCAGCCACACUGGGACUGGAGACACGGCCCAGACUCCCACGGGAGGCAGCAGGGGGAAUUUUGACAUAUUUUGGGGGAAACCCUUGAUCCAACCAUCCCGCGUGUGCGAUGAAGGCCUUCGGGUUGUAAAGCACUUUGGCAGGAAAAGAACGGCACGGGAUAAUACCCCGUGCAACUGACGGUACCUGCAGAAUAAGCACCGGCUAACCACGUGCCAGCAGCCGCGGUAAUACGUAGGGUGCAAGCGUUAAUCGGAAUUACUGCUGUAAAGCGUGCGCAGGCGGUUCGGAAAGAAAGAUGUGAACCCAGAGCUUAACUUUGGAACUGCAUUUUUAACUACCGAGCUAGAGUGUGUCAGAGGGAGGUGGAAUUCCGCGUGUAGCAGUGAAAUGCGUAGAUAUGCGGAGGAACACCGAUUAAGCAAGGCAGCCUGGGAUAACACUGACGCUCAUGCACGAAAGCGUGGGGAGCAAACAGGAUUAGAUAUUCUGGUAGUCCACGCCCUAAACGAUGUCAACUAGCUGUUGGGGCCUUCGGGCCUUGGUAGCAGCCAAUCAGUGAAGACCGCCUGGGGAGUACGGUCGCAAGAUUAAACUCAAAGGAAUUUUCGAUUUGGGACCCGCACAAGCGGUGGAUGAUGUGGAUUAAUUCGGAUGCAACGCGAAAACCUUACCUACCCUUGACAUGUCUGGAAUCCUGAAGAGAUUGGGAGUGCUCGCAAGAGAACCGGAACACAGGUGCUGCAUGGCUGUCGUCAGCUCGUGUCGUGAGAUGUUGGGUUAAGUCCCGAAACGAGCGUAACCCUUGUCAUUAUUGCUACGAAAGGGCACUCUAUCGAGACUGCCGGUGACAAACCGGAGGAAGGUGGGGAUGACGUCAAGUCCUCAUGGCCCUUAUGGGUAGGGCUUCACACGUCAUACAAUGGUCGGGACAGAGGGUCGCCAACCCGCGAGGGGGAGCCAAUCCCAGAAACCCGAUCGUAGUCCGGAUCGCAGUCUGCAACUCGACUGCGUGAAGUCGGAAUCGCUUGCAAUCACGGAUCAGCAUGUCGCGGUGAAUACGUCCCCGGGUCUUGUACACACCGCCCGUCACACCAUGGGAGUGGGUUUUACCCAGAAGUAGUUAGCCUAACCCGUAAGGAGUGGCGAUUACCACGGUAGGAUUCAUGACUGGGUGAAGUCGUAACAAGGGUAA
rnacentral:rRNA from 1 species